rnacentral:rRNA from 1 species
UACGGGGGGGGCAAGCGUUGUUCGGAAUUACUGGGCGUAAAGGGCUCGUAGGUGGCCAACUAAGUCAGACGUGAAAUCCCUCAGCUUAACUGGGGAACUGCGUCUGAUACUGGAUGGCUUGAGUUUGGGAGAGGGAUGCGGGAUUCCAGGUGUAGCGGUGAAAUGCGUAGAUAUCUGGAGGAACACCGGUGGCGAAGGCGGCAUCCUGGACCAACACUGACACUGAGGAGCGAAAGCCAGGGGAGCAAACGGG